AGUGAACGCUGGCGGUAGGCCUAACACAUGCAAGUCGAACGGCAGCACAGUAAGAGCUUGCUCUUACGGGUGGCGAGUGGCGGACGGGUGAGGAAUACAUCGGAAUCUACUUUUUCGUGGGGGAUAACGUAGGGAAACUUACGCUAAUACCGCAUACGACCUACGGGUGAAAGCAGGGGAUCUUCGGACCUUGCGCGAUUGAAUGAGCCGAUGUCGGAUUAGCUAGUUGGCGGGGUAAAGGCCCACCAAGGCGACGAUCCGUAGCUGGUCUGAGAGGAUGAUCAGCCACACUGGAACUGAGACACGGUCCAGACUCCUACGGGAGGCAGGAGUGGGGAAUUUUGGACAAGGGGCGCAAGCCUGAUCCCGCCAUACCGCGUGGGUGAAGAAGGCCUUCGGGUUGUAAAGCCCUUUUGUGGGGAAAGAAAAGCAGCAGGUUAAUACCCCGCUGUUCUGACGGUACCCAAAGAAUAAGCACCGGCUAACUUCGU
rnacentral:rRNA from 1 species